UACGAAGGGAGCUAGCGUUGUUCGGAAUUACUGGGCGUAAAGGGCGCGUAGGCGGUUUGACAAGUCGGAUGUGAAAGCCCUGGGCUCAACCCGGGAAUUGCAUUCGAUACUGUUUUACUAGAAUUCGGUAGAGGUUGGUAGAAUUCCCAGUGUAGAGGUGAAAUUCGUAGAUAUUGGGAAGAAUACCCGUGGCGAAGGCGGCCAACUGGACCGACAUUGACGCUGAGGCGCGAAAGCGUGGGUAGCAAACAGG
rnacentral:rRNA from 1 species